GUAGCCGUAGCUCAGCUGGAUAGAGCGAAGGACUUCUAAUCCUUAGGUCACAGGUUCAAGUCCUGUCGGUUACACCA
rnacentral:tRNA from 1 species